GGCCUGAUGGUGUAGUGGUAGCACGUCCCUUUUAACUACGGAGCAACUCACAUAACUUCAUGGGAAGUCCCUUGUUCGAACCAAGGUCAGGCCA